rnacentral:rRNA from 1 species
UACAGAGGGUGCAAGCGUUGUUCGGAAUUAUUGGGCGUAAAGGGCGCGUAGGCGGUGCCACAAGUCACCUGUGAAAUCUCCGGGCUUAACUCGGAGCCUGCAGGCGAAACUGUGGUGCUGGAGUGUGGGUAGAGGUGCGUGGAAUUCCCGGUGUAGCGGUGAAAUGCGGUAGAUAGUUGGGAAGAACACCGGUGGCGAAGGCGGCUCACUGGCCCGUUACUGACGCUCCAGGCGCGGACAGCGUGGGGAUCGAAA